GAUGAACGCUGGCGGCGUGCCUAAUACAUGCAAGUCGAGCGAACGGACGAGAAGCUUGCUUCUCUGAUGUUAGCGGCGGACGGGUGAGUAACACGUGGAUAACCUACCUAUAAGACUGGGAUAACUUCGGGAAACCGGAGCUAAUACCGGAUAAUAUUUUGAACCGCAUGGUUCAAAAGUGAAAGACGGUCUUGCUGUCACUUAUAGAUGGAUCCGCGCUGCAUUAGCUAGUUGGUAAGGUAACGGCUUACCAAGGCAACGAUGCAUAGCCGACCUGAGAGGGUGAUCGGCCACACUGGAACUGAGACACGGUCCAGACUCCUACGGGAGGCAGCAGUAGGGAAUCUUCCGCAAUGGGCGAAAGCCUGACGGAGCAACGCCGCGUGAGUGAUGAAGGUCUUCGGAUCGUAAAACUCUGUUAUUAGGGAAGAACAUAUGUGUAAGUAACUGUGCACAUCGUGACGGUACCGAAUCAGAAAGCCACGGCUAACUACGUG
rnacentral:rRNA from 1 species